AUGAACGCUGGCGGCGUGCCUAAUACAUGCAAGUCGAGCGAACAGACGAGGAGCUUGCUCCUCUGACGUUAGCGGCGGACGGGUGAGUAACACGUGGAUAACCUACCUAUAAGACUGGGAUAACUUCGGGAAACCGGAGCUAAUACCGGAUAAUAUAUUGAACCGCAUGGUUCAAUAGUGAAAGACGGUUUUGCUGUCACUUAUAGAUGGAUCCGCGCCGCAUUAGCUAGUUGGUAAGGUAACGGCUUACCAAGGCAACGAUGCGUAGCCGGCCUGAGAGGGUGAUCGGCCACACUGGAACUGAGACACGGUCCAGACUCCUACGGGAGGCAGCAGUAGGGAAUCUUCCGCAAAGGGCGAAAGCUUGACGGAGCAACGCCGCGUGAGUGAUGAAGGUCUUCGGAUCGUAAAACUCUGUUAUUAGGGAAGAACAAAUGUGUAAGUAACUAUGCACGUCUUGACGGUACCUAAUCAGAAAGCCACGGCUAACUACGUG
rnacentral:rRNA from 1 species